GACCCGGGGCGUCAACCUCGGAAUAGCAUUUGAAACUAGGCAGACUAGAGUACUGUAGAGGGGGGUAGGAAUUUCUAGGUGUAGCGGUGAAAUAGCGUAGAGAUCUGAAGGAAUACCGGUGGCGAAGGCGGCCCCCUCGGACAGAUACUGACACUCAGAUGCGAAAGCGUGGGGAGCAAACAGGAUUAGAUACCCCUGGUAG
rnacentral:rRNA from 1 species